rnacentral:lncRNA from 1 species
GGAAAAACGAAGAUGUCUUUUAAUACAAAGAACACCGUGGAAGGUACAGCAGAUACAGAACUGAUUAUAAAGUUUCUGUAAUGAAGUCAGGCGCUUUGCGUAACGGUGGACGCAAAGACCAAAGAAACCAAAUUUGUUCAGAGACAGACUCGCACAGAAACACUUGAUUUAGGACAAGGGUGGCAGCGUGCAGACCGGUGGAAGGAUUUUUUUUUUCCCAAUAAAUAGUAUAAUCAGCCGUUGCUGGAUGCUUCGGAAUGCAUCGCAAUCAUAAAUACCCCCAAACGUCAAUACCCGGACCGGCAGCAGAACAGCCUGAGAAUCUAGAGUGCUUUCUCUGGGUAAUUAUCCCCGCCCUCCAAGAAAAGCUGCCGCUCGGCCGUCUUCUUGGUUUCAUCAAAGAAGGCAAGUAGGGGUCAAUCAAAGCUUACCUGGUGAGAACUGGACACCUUCUUCCUCUUCUGGUUCUGUAGCUUAACACCUGUGUAUUGGCUGAUACCACAAAGCUGGGUUUUUAAAUUAAUAUUGGGUCACAUGUCAACUCUCUUUUUUUUUUUCAGCGAUUUAAAAAUGUGUAACCAUUCAUAGCUCAUGGGCCAUGCAAAACCAGAAGGCAAAGGCUGCAUCCUGCCCACAGGUGUUAGUUUGCCAAGCCCUGGGUUAAAAUACGAACAUUUGUUCACACCGAUCCAUAGCCUAAGUGCCCUCAGAAUGGGGGCUGUUGUGAGGGUGGAGACUCGUGCAGAAAAUCGCACAAGACAGAACACCCUUAGAAUGUACCCUUUUUAAAGCAGGACUUCACCCUGCUUUGUCACUCCUUAUACCUGCCUUGCAACAAAUAAACUAAAUUAUUAAACCAAAGGGGAAAAUAUUUUGGCACUUGUGUCUUGGAAUGGACAUUUCUUCGUGAAUUUGCUAUAGUUUAACGAACAGUUUUUAGCUAGAAUGUAAUUAUUGUACUCGUGAUGGGGUGUGUAUCUCCUGGGUAUUUUGUUAUAUAUACUCUUGGCUAUUGCCCCUCCUAAAUUACUAUAUUUAUAAAUUAAAAUUCGAACUGUAGGUCCGUCUUUAUUUAAUAGCUGUGUGGGAAAGUAAUAGUUAAAUAAUUGCUUCUUGAAAAAAAAAAAUCUUGUUACUGAACCGAAAAAGUCUGUGGCCGGAAGGCCAAUAUAAAUGGAAUCCAAGAAGAUUCUCUCAACGAGCUGCCGAGAUUGAUGUUUUAAAAGACGACAAUACCUUCAGCCUCUCAUGGGAAUUACAACCAGGAAUCCCUGACACUACAGGGUACCUAAUACUGUUUUGUUAGGACUGUAAUCCUGCCUAGUGAAAACGUGGCUUUCUGCCUAGUGAAAGCGUCAUGGGCUCAGGACAUGCUGAUACAUAACUAUUUUCAAGAAUCUAGUAUCUGAACAACAAAUUGUUUCCGUCUAGUCUAAAAAGUUAGUUACUCUUAUUUAUUCUUUCUGUCCUUUAUUUUUAAGAAAGCCUGCAUUAAGCAAAACUUCCCCUCCCCUCUGUCCCACCUUGAUACCAAAAAUCAUCAUUCAGUUCAAAAUACUUACUCGGUUCAAAGUAUCUGAAACCAUCAGUUAAUUGGAGACGUUACACAAAGAGCCAACAUUUUUUUCAUUCCAUCAUUUCAACUUUUCUAGUAAUUGCUUUUUUAAAUUGAUUUUUCUUGUGAAAAUGUAAUACAAAAUUUUAAAAAGAUAGGCCUGUGACUAUGGGAGGUCCCUGGUGGCCUAGCAGUUAAGGAUCCAGCACUGUGGCUGCUGUGGUGCGGGUUCAAUCCCUGGCCCAGGUAUUUCCGCAUGCUAUAGGCUUGGUCAAAAAAAAAUAAACAAAAAAAACAGUAUAUUACUAUCUAAUAAACUCAUCAAAUUAUUAGUUAUGUUUUGGCUUGUUAACUACCUUAAAAAAUAAAUACAUAUCUGUGUCUUAUUGAAAAGAAAUGAAACUGGUGAAAAUAGGCAGGGAAAUUCAUCUGUGUGCAGUCUUGGGAUUAUUCUACAAAUCACAGAGAAAUAAAAAUAAAGUCUUCUUCUCUGAGUUACUUUAGGUUUCAUGCGUUUUCUGUGCCAAGAAGAGAAAGCCAUGUCACCAGGAAGCUUCCGCAGUUGGGGACACUGCACCUGCGUUGCUGUGGCACUCUGGUUCAUUACCUUUCACUUGCAGAGGCAUCACGGCGAUCAUUUAGACGAGAAAACCGAUUUCAGAAAGGUAGUUGGCCUUCAUGGCCAACGGCAAUUUCACAUUCAAAGUGGGGUCUGUGUGGCCCUGAGUUCAUGGUCACCGCCACGCAGGGGAUGACUGCGGACAGACGCACAGCCAGACUGCAGGGGGCCCGGUGCAAGGACUGCAGGGACCAUCAGUGGGGACCUGGGCCUGGAAGUCGAUGGACCUGAAGACUGGCCAGUUUCGGCCUGGAGAUUAGCAGCUCCAAGUUUCAGGGACCAGUGACCCCGCAGGAUCGGCCGAGGCUGAGACUGGGCUGCUUGACUUGGUGGCGCCUUCAUACCUGCCUGGACUUCCAGUCACCACAGAGGGACAAUGGGCUGGACGGUCACUCACUGCUGCGGUAGCUCAGAUUUGACUCUGGGAACUUCUGUAUGCUGCUGGUAUGGCCCUAAAAAGAAAGAGAAAAAAAAAAUGAACCGUGCUCAGAAGGCUAGGGUUGUAUUAGGGUGAAAUAGGUAUGAUCGGGGAGUGUGCUGGGAAGGUGGGGAGAGCUGAACUGGGGAGAGGACGCAGCCAAGAACCCAGUAGGAGGCUGCCCUAGUAGGGAGAGCUGCUGGGACUGGGGGGCCAGAACGACAUGGGAAACGCAAAAGCAGCAGGAGUCAGGGACGAUCUAAGACCAGAGCGACACCCCCCUUGGUCAGGCCUUCCGAGGAGGCGCCUGAUGGGGCGGGGAGGGCGGGGCAGGGGGACUGGCAGGGAAACAGCGGGAAGGGUGGCUUAGCACGUGGGAGGGGAAGAUGAGCACCUGUUCCCCCGCGUCUAGGACACAGAGUUUAAACAUUUACAGCGUAUAAUGCACCAAACUCAUGACAGACUCUGGCAAUGAAAGCAAUUAUAACAACACGUUGCCAAACCAAGAACCAGCACGUGGAUAUUUCUAUGGCCUGAAACCCUCCCAGGCUUAGAGGCUAUGGCAGGGUUCUGAGCAAUGGGGGUUCCAAUGUCAUCUUUUACUAAUUCGAAGUAUGCAGAAGAAGUUAAAGUUGAAUGAUUGUUCUUUUCCCCACAUACAUAGCAGGUAUGAAUGUUUGCGUAUUGAAACAGCUUUUCUGGAGUUUCCUUUUUCUCCUGUACCUAUGUAACCCCUGCAGUGCUGGUGUUCGGGUGCAAAGGACGAAGACCUGUGUACCCCCAGGACACUCGCAGAGUGCAUUCCCCCCCGGCCCCCCACACUUUAAACUGGACCUUGUCGAGAGCUCCGUAAGGUAGGGAGUCGAGGUAAUUGCCACCAAGAAGUUUAUUUGUCACUGGAGGGAACUGGGUCUCAGAGAACUACGAGGGCCCCGUUCACCGUCCUGCAAUGCGGUAAGGGCUGGAUCUCACACUUGGGAAUUGGCCUCUUUCCCUGAGCUGCUUUCCUGUCCUGCCACCUCUGCGCCCAGACCCAAGACUGAUUUCCCCACGCGUUCAGUGAGACAAGGGAACCAGUUUCACUUCGGAGAAGGAAGAGGCGUGACUUCAGACGUGUGACGCUGGAAGUCAGUCUCAAGGUCGGAAAGGACUUACGCCAGUGAUGGUCAGACCUGACCCCCAGAAUCACUGGGGGAGACUCCUGGGCUCACCCUGGUUCUGUUCCGGUGUCUGGGGUUGGGUUGAGGAAACUCGUACGUUCAAAAAGUCCCCUGAAACAGGAGCCCUGAGCUGCAGAGCAUGACUUGAAGGACUUUUUGUUCAAGGGGAUCACAGUGUUGGGAAAACCCGUGUUUCCAAGAGUCCUUAUCUUCUGAAGAAAUGCCGACGAAACAGUAUCACGUCUGACUUUUGUUUUAAAAUAAUCCAGGGCUGAGGGCGGAGGCUAGAGGCUACGUGAAGCAGGCUCCUGGGAACUUGGAGUGGGUGGUGCGAGGAGGGGGCUUCUUCUGCCUGUGCCUACCAUCAAAAUGGUUCUAAAAGAAGGAAGUUGCACAAAGAAAAAGCUCCCCAGGAAAUUCCGAUGACCGCAGACUCUGGGAAUCAUGGAUCUAUUCCACCCCGAAGCUCUCAUCACCCGGGUUCCCUGUGAGGUGUUUCUUCCCUGCAUCGCAGCGGCGUUGCGGAAGGGUACGCUCAUGGGUGCGCCGAAACGAGGAAAGGUAAACAAGGUCCUGCUGCCGAGCCCAGGGAACUACAGCCCGUGCCCUGGGCUUAGUGGGGAUGGAGCAGACCGGGAAGGAGGGUCUGUGUGUGCAACCGCGUCACUGCGCAGCGGAAAUUGACCGCUGUACUUCAGCGACAUAAAUUAAAACAAAAGAAGAGAAAGGAGUGCGCGAUGGCUACAAGUGAGCGUCUGCUCUUCCCAAACCAGGGGCCCACCUUCCGGUCCUUUCUUGGAUUCUGCUCCUUUCUCUCCAUGUCCGUCCAGUCCCAGGGAGCAGGUUGCUCUUCUGCUUUGACCUGCCCCUACGGUCCACACACCCAUCCUCAGUGAGGUUCAUGUCGAGGGUCAAGUGUCCUCUAAACUCACACUUUCUCCUUUUCUCUUUCGUCCUCACUCGUGUACACUCAGAGCAGGCGUGUGUGUGAGGCAGGAGCUUGAGAGUACAGCCUUAUCGCACCAUGGCAACAGAAGCCUCACCCACGUUGGUCACUUUGCAUGGAAUUAUUGCAAACGUCAACAGCACUUUUGAAAGUUUAAGUUGCACCGCGUUUCCCAAAGCAAACGCCUGCAACUGGGCAUUUCUGAUUUUGGAGAUGCUGGUGGACAGAGACAAGAUUCAGUCAGGGGGACGUCCUGGACACCCCAGUUCUGGGCUUCCCGCGGAUAAGACGCCUCUUCGCAGUUGCUUCUCUGGUUUCUCUUAUGUUUAGUGCUGGUAAAGCAUUCAAUAGUACCUGUUCCCUUCAGUUGGUGUGCUUGCAUUUGCUUAAAUACCAUUUAAUGGGAGUUUGCCUUCAAAAAUGUAAUGCACUUUCCCAGCAAAAUCAUAUCUAUUCUAAUCUCAGCAUAUAUUAUGUACUAUACUUGUAUAAAACUUUUUACAGUUAUAUAAAAUACAACGUAUUAUACGUAUUAUGUGUGUGUGUGUGUACCCAUUUUCUAGCAGAAAAGGGCAUAGAACACAGAGAACAAUAGCUCAUAGGGAGUUCCCGUUGUGGCUUGGUAACGAGCCCAGUUAGUAUCCAUGAGGAUUCAGGUUCAAUCUCCGGCUUCGCACAGUGGGUUAAGGAUCUGGUGUUGCUGUGACCGUCGUGUAGCUCUGAUGUGAGCCCUAGCCUGAGAACUUCCAUGUGCUGCAGGAAAAAAACAAAAAAAGAAAAAGAAGAAAAAGCUGAUACAUCUGUACUGCUUGUCCUCUUAGGCCUAUUACGUCCCUGAGAGGUUUUCCCCUGAUACCUGCUAUUUUCUGAGACCUGUAAAAAUUGGAGCGGGAGCCAGGCUUGCAACAUUUAGUUCACCUCAGAACCUGGUGUCUAUAAUGUCUCCUGCAUUUGUUUUGCUUUUGUUGAACCCCUGGCAGCCAGUGGAUCCAGUCCUCCGGGGGCUGCCCAGGAGUUCCACUUCUGUUCUAGGAACAAGGCCCUUCCCUGGCCCCAGCACUGGUGCUGGGUUUGGGAUUCUCAUCAAGAGAGAAGGGAAAGCCCCCUCCCGGCCGGGACCUGCCCUUACGAGGACUUAGCCCGGGGAUCAGGCCAUCAGCCAUGGUGCUGUGACCCAGAGGGGUGGUUCGUCAGACACCACCGUGUCCCACGCUCUGUGCUCAGUGCUGGGAGACGGACAGAAUCUGAAACCAACGCGUCCCGGCCACCAGGGGCCUUCCACCAAAACAAGGGAACAUCAAGAGGUUUUUCCACACAUUAAAAGGGAAGUGACCUGUGUCCGUGGGUAUAAUUCUCCCCCUAAGACUUCACACACACACAUGCACAACAGAGAC